GGAGGGAGGCUGAGGAGCCUGAGAGCUCUGCGCCAGUCCCGCGCCGUGUCACCGCGUCUCCGAGCGCUCUGGUCUCAGGAACUGCGGGCCCCGCUGGGCGCCCGCGGCCCUCCUCCGGCGACGCUGAUUGGUGAGGGCUUAGGCUCCGCCCUAAAGGGCGUGACCACACGCUUAGCCAGGUGUGCUAGGAUGGUCCUGGUCCUAGCCAUCCUAGCCAUCAAAGGACCACAAGCAAGGACCAACCUCUGCCUAUGGCUGGUGGCGCACGUACAUGGAACUGUCAGAAUCCCUGCUGAUGGAAGUGCGCAGGUGGGCCUGGCGGCAGACAUCUUGGAAUCCCACCAAUGUAAAGGCUUGAGUAUCACAAUAACUGCAAGUUCGAGACCAGCCCAGGCUAAAUAGAUCCUGACAAAAUAAUAACAGUAAUGAUGUAAAUAAAUAUGUGAGGUAGCCUGUUUGUAAUACCAGCUCUUGGGAAGCUAAAGGAAAAAAGUGGUUUUGUACCUGACCAGGAACUGUGAUGCAUAUUUUACAUAUCAAAGCAGACUUGAUAUGUAAAAAAUACAUAUCCGGGCUUCCCCAGAGUCCUUUUAGUCCCUAUCUGGCAUUCCCUGCCCCUAACCUUGAACUUUCCAGCCCAGGAGUUAGGCUGCCCUUCCCCCCCAGAGGCUCCUCCCUAUAUUUCUAGACGUUUUCUCUGUCUCCUCUCUGCCUGCAUGCCCUUUCUUUUUUUCUCUCUCCCUUAUCCCAUCCUCCCCCCCCCCCCGUGGUGACUCCUGAGGCCAGUGUGAACUAGCCUGCCUGAGAGCAGCUUCCCAAUAAACCUGCCUUUAAUAGAAUCGAA
rnacentral:lncRNA from 1 species